UACGGGGGGGGCAAGCGUUGUUCGGAAUUACUGGGCGUAAAGGGCGCGUAGGCGGCUUGAUAAGGUUGCGGUGAAAGCCCGGGGCUCAACCCCGGGUCGGCCGUGGCAACUGUCGAGCUGGAGCACUGUAGAGGCAGGUGGAAUUCCGGGUGUAGCGGUGGAAUGCGCAGAGAUCCGGAAGAACACCGGUGGCGAAGGCGGCCUGCUGGGCAGUGGCUGACGCUGAGGCGCGACAGCGUGGGGAGCAAACAGG
rnacentral:rRNA from 1 species